rnacentral:lncRNA from 1 species
CUCAAGAGAAUGGGCCUUUGUUACUUUCUCAGGAAGCGGAGUUGCAAGUUAAAUGCCUUGCCUUUCAUAGAAGACAUGAUUGCUUUAAGAGAGUCCCAACCAGAGAAGAGGACUGUGGAGGAGGGAAGAGGGGAAGGUACAACUGAACAGAGGCUUUGAUUGUGAGGCUCCAGCCAGACCCACGCUUCCUCCUGCCUUCCUGCCUCAACCCUCCCCGGUGGACCCCUCACCAGAUGAAGGUCUGUUAGCUGAGCUGGGGGAUGAUGACUCAGAGCAACGGGGCUGACUUUCAGGCAAGGCCUGAGUUUGGUUUUAAUUAUGCUGCGCUGUGUGCAUGAACUAAAAUUGCGGGAUGAUGUGAAAGAAAAAUAAAU